CUGGUCGAUGUGCAGCCCCUCGUCCCCAUGUGCCUUGAGCAUUCGGACAAUGAGGCAGUUCAGAAGGUUCCGUCUCUUCUCCAAGUUCCGACCCUCUUCAUCCUCAGCUUUCAGGUACGUCUGAGGUGGGAUGAGCCACACGUUGCCCCUCCUUGGCCUGGGCUCCUCGCUGGCAUCUCGAAUCUUGAGCACCCCUGAAAUAAGCACUAGUCACCAGUGGGGGGCCCACGAGGAGGCUGAGAGCAGAGGCCCCUCUCCCCAAGUACAUACCUCCUGGGACACCCUUUUGCUCUUGAAGGUCCAGGGGGCCUCUCGAAGAGGUAAGAGGCCCAAUCGCCUGAUCGAGCAUGUCUGGAGAGAGCCCAGAGAGUGCCAGCAGACUCUCCACGGAGACAGCCUUAGAGAAGACGAAGGAAAUACUCAGGGCUUCCCCAAAGAGUGGAGCAGAGAAGGGAGAGGGAGGGAGGAUAGGGAGUUGAGGUUUAGGGAAGAGGGGUGAGGGACAAGGUACAGAGAGCAGGGCUGCCUAGCUGGGCUGGGCCACCUUCAGCUCAUUGAGAUACAACAGCAACCACAUCUGCACGGUGGACACAUGCAGGGUCUGGUCCCCAAACUGCAGCUCAGCCCGGCCCAGCCACGUCCACUGCAGCCGCCGAUGGGGUCCCAUGUCCAGGGCCGGGUAGCUCUGACCUGAGACAGGUCAGGGAGAGAAGGGGUCAGGGCUGGUGAGGGGGGACUGUUGGUUGAGCCCUGCCCCUGCUAAUCUCUGCCGAGCGUGCACCCCAGUGUUCAUGGAUCCUGUGCUUCCUGAACUUCCAGAGCUCAGCCUUCACCGUGCCCCUCUUGGGGAGACAAAACCAUGAAGUGAGGAAGGCCUGGGCUCUCAUCAAACUGGACUAUCCACGAUGAAAGAGGGAAUGAGGUCUCCCUGGACAGAAAAGGCAACAGUCUGGGGACCUGGUGCUUGAUAGCCCCUGCCCUCACCCCAAACGUAAGCU